UAAUUAUAAACUGAAUUCACAUUUUAUACAUUGUCCAGAAUUCAUACUUUCCUCGAAGGUAACUAUCAGUAUUCAUUACAGCCAUGCUGUUUACUAUUACUGUUCUGGACCAAUUCGUCUCUUAAAUGUUUUGGCUUCAUUUUGGGUUUAAACUUUAGGACUUGGGUAUAAAAUGGUUUAAAUGAUACAGUUUAAAAUCCCUACUUAGAGUAAGACAUUUCCCCCACUUUAUUUAACUUCUGUAUUGUUGUACCACUAACUGCCAUAAUAUUAGAAUAUCUAUUGUGUAUUUUGGUAUGAAAUAAAUAUGAUAGUUGAGGUAUUAUUUCUUUAAGACUUCUUUUCCUAGAAUGCUGGCUUAUACUUGCCCAAAUCAUUAUCCGGUCAAGUAUUAGCUUUGUCCUCCCAGAGAAUUGUCCGUUAUGUCGGUUGUUGUAGACACUUGUCCCCUAGUGUGACAAGGUGUCCAGGGCAGAACUGGUCUUCAUUGUUUAUGUAAAGAACCUGGGUUUAUUUGGUAUUUCGUGGCUGCGCUAGCAUUAAGUAAAAAGGUAUCCGGAAAACGUUACUUUUACUUGAAUGUUAGAUCAGUCCGUUCACAUUUUGGUGCCGUGACCAUACAAAUUGCCCUUAACAUUUCUGUUAUUUUGUAAAAUGGCAUAUUCAAUAGAUUAUGCAAGCGGUAUAAGCCAGCAUGAUAAAGCAAAAAUUGAGCAUUCUGAUAGAUUUUCAGAUAAAGAUGAAGUUAAGUAUAGACAUGAAAAAGAUUUCAAUUUUAGUACUCCAUUAAAAUCAUUUGUUACUUUAUCUGAAACCUAUGAUGAUUCUGUAAGGGAUAAAUCUAUAUUGAAACAUCCAGAUUAUAAAGUAGAUAGAAAAUUUACUCCAAAAAGAUACCAAGAACCACAUUUUAGUAGGAGACCAAGUUAUGAAUUGUAUGAUGAUAGGGAUAGAUUAAACAAGAACCAAGGAUCAGAUUAUCCCCCAAACAAGAGAUAUGUUGAUAAGGAUACAUUUUCAGAGGACUAUCAAUCCUUAAAUAGGUAUUCAACUGACAAAUACCCCAGUUAUGAUUUAAAUAGGCAUGAAGGGGUUAAGCACACAUCUUCUCUUGAUAACUUGGCCAAAACCUGUUACCUUACAUGAAAAACGUAUAGUAAGAAGAGAAAAAGAGCCUCAAUCAUUUGAUGGCAAAACUAUUGACUGGCAAGACUAUUUGGUUCAUUUUGAACAAGUUGCAGAAUGGAAUGAAUGGAAUGAUUUAGAAAGAGCUAAACAAAUUGUUAUGAGUCUAAGAGGUCCUGCUCAGAAAAUUUUGAGUACUUUAAGUAAACAAGACCUUGGAAAUUAUAAUAAAAUUAAAGAAAGUUUAAAUAAUAGAUUUAAUCCUAGAGAAAGAGAAGCCGCAUAUGUUUGCGAAUUUGAAGCAAGAAGACAUUCUAAAGACGAAACUGUUUCUGAGUAUGGUCAAGCUUUAAGAAGGUUAGGUUACUUGGCUUUUCCAAAUGAAAAACAAGAUUCUGAAAUGAUGGAAAAAGUUCUUAAUAAAUAAAUUCAUUAGAGGAUUAAAUAACUUGGAUUUACAAAAGCAUGUCCAGUUUCAGCGUGCAAACACGUUGGAUACUGCAAUUUCAUACGCAAUUGAAUAUGAAGCAUUUAUCAAUCCUCAAAAUAAUAUGAGAAAGCCAAUGCUAACUAGCAAUGAAGUCCCCAUUCAAGCAAUUAAGGAUAAUAAAAAGGAAAGUACAGAGUUAUUAACUCUUGAUCAAGUUGCUAAACUAAUUGAUGAAAAAUUAAGUCAACUUAAACAUGUUAAUACAGAAACCGAAAAUAGGAACGGAUAUUAUCAAAAUAGGCCUCCUAGGUUUAAUAAUAGGGGCAGAGGAAGGUAUUAUAGGAAUCAAAACACAGCACGACUGACAGAGUCUGCUAUAAAUGUAAUGAGAUAGGACAUAUUCAGUACUAUUGUCCAUUGAACAAUCAGGGAAACGAUUAAAAGCUGAUUUAGAGGCCAAUACUUCAGCUGUUAAAAAUUUAGAAAGGCCACAAACCAAAAUUGAAAGUUUGAUAUCAGAUCCAAUUAAGAGAGUUCAAAUAAAUUUAGUGAAUCAAAAUUGUCUUUUUGCUUUUUGCAAAAAUUGAUGAAAUUGAUGUUAAAUUUCUUGUUGAUACUGGAUCACCAGUUUCUCUGAUUUCUUUUGAUACUUUUGAGAAAUUAAAACUGAAGUUCUCAGUUGAUUAGCCUAGAUAGUAUUUUAACAACUGCCAAUGGCAAUGCUUUAAGUGUUAAAGGCAAAUGUAUUUUGAAUAUAGCAAUAGGUCCUUUAUUAGUUAAACAAGAAGUUAUUGUAGCUGAUAUAAAAGGGUCAUCUGGGAUCUUAGGAAUGAAUUUCUUUGAACAAAAUGAAAUUGAUAUUCAAAUUAAAAGCCAAUGCUUAAGUAUCAAUGGUCAGAGUAUUCCUCUUUUUAAAGAAAAUAGUUCCCAGUGUUCAAGAAUUCAGAUAGCUAGGCAAGUUUCAAUUCCUGCAAAUAGUGAAAUGAUUAUUGAAGCUUCUAAAAAGAGAUUCAUUUGUAGAUGGUAUUGGCAUUAUUGAACCAUUAGAAUGGGUGAAAAGUAAAGGUCUUUUAGUGGCAAAAAGCCUAGUUGAUACAGAAAAUACAAUUUACCUAGCUAUCAUGAACUUGAAUUCAAAAUCAGUUAAACUUAAACAAGGUGAACAGAUUGCACACUUGAUGACAAUUGAACAAGUUUUUGAUGAGGAUAAUGUUGAGUCACAAACAGAUUCAAAAUAUAAUGACAUAUCAGAACAAGUUAAUACUUUAAAAGAUGUUGACAUUGCCCGAGCAUUUAAAAUCUAUGUUAGAUAAAGUAUCAUCAGACUUAAAAGAUGAAGAGAAGCAAAAACUGUCUUCACUUAUACAUGAGUAUAAAGAUAUAUUCGUUGGUCCUGAUGGUUCUCUUGGGCGAACUGAUAGAGUAAAACACUACAUAGAUACUGGUGAUGCAAAACCUGUAAAGAUAUCUCCACGAAGAGUAGCUUUGAAACAGAGGGAUGUUCUUGAAGAAGAAUUGAAAAAAAUGAUUGACAAAAAUUUAAUUGAACCCAGUUGUAGUCCAUGGGCAGCACCAGUGUGCCUUGUAAAGAAAAGGGAUGGGUCUAUUCGAUUCUGUGUGGACUUUAGAAAAUUAAAUGAAAGAACAGUAAAAGACGCCUACCCUUUACCGCGUAUUGAUGACACUCUUGAUACCUUGAGCGGCGGAAAGUGGUUUUCAUGCGUUGAUUUAGCCAGUGGUUAUUUUCAGGUAGAGGUUGCCGAAGAAGACAAAUACAAAACUGCCUUUUCGACACAUAAAGGCUUAUAUCAGUUUCUUGUAAUGCCGAUGGGUUUAUGCAACUCUCCCGCAACAUUUAGCCGGCUCAUGAAUCAGGUUUUGGGUGGUUUACAAUGGCAUCGUUGUCUUUGCUAUCUGGAUGACGUCAUAAUUUAUGGAAAAGACUUUGAAACAGCUUUUGAUAAUUUGAAAACCGUAUUUCAGUGUUUUAGAGAAGCAAAUCUUAAACUGAAACCGAGUAAAUGCUCGUUUUUUCAAACAGAAGUCAAAUUUUUGGGACACAUUGUCUCUGCAGAAGGCAUUAAAUGCGAUUCAGAAAAAAUUCAAUCGGUUCAGAAUUGGCAUACACCAUCAAAUGUCAAAGAGUUACGAAGUUUUUUAGGCUUCGCGGGUUAUUACCGCCGUUUCAUACCAGAUUUUGCAACUAUCGCUCAUCCUCUGACACAGUUAACUCAAAAGAAUAAAUCAUUUAUUUGGGAUGAUAAAUGUAAAAUCGCGUUUGAGACGUUAAAAGAAUGCUUAACAACUGCACCAACAUUAUCAUUUCCAAGUGAAGAUGGCGCUUACAUACUAGAUACAGAUGCUAGUCAAACAGGAGUCGGAGCUGUUCUUUCGCAAAUCCAGAAUGGUGAGGAACAUGUCAUUGCAUAUUCCAGUCGAACUUUAAACAGAGCACAAAAACAGUAUUGUACCACAAAACGUGAACUGCUAGCGGUCAUUAUUUUCUUGUGCCAAUUCAGACAUUAUUUAUAUGGCCAAAAAUUUACUUUACGUACAGAUCAUGCGUCGCUCAAGUGGCUAAAAAAUUUCAAAAACCCGGAAGGUAUGAUCGCGAGAUGGAUUUCUAUCAUAGACACAUACGACAUGGAAAUUCAACACCGCAAGGGUUCAUUGCAUACAAACGCAGAUGGUUUAUCGCGCACACCAAAACGGAAAUGUAAACGAAUCAAUUGUCCAGAAUGUACCGAAAUGAAAACAGAUAUAGAAUAUUUUGAAAAUGUCAAAACUACGGAUUGUAUUGAUGACCUGAAUACCGUCAAGGAUGGCCAUGCCUCCUGCUUAAGUGUUCAAUCAGUUAUCAAUGACACGGAAACUGACGGCGACACUGAUAGCGUCAGAGGUUGUCUUGCGACCCAUUUAGCUAUCAGACCGGUCAAUGUCAAUACAGAAGAACUUAGUUUUGACAUAACAUCAAACUGGCUCAGUUAUUGGUCGAAUUCGCAAUUAAGAGAAAUGCAAGAGAAUGACCAAAAUAUAAGUUUUAUAUUGAACAAUUUGUUACAAUCUGACGAAAAACCCAAAAAGUCCGAAAUUCAAAACAAAUCAAAAGAAACAAAAAUUCUUUAUGGGUUAUGGGAAUCCUUGACCAUUCAGAAUAACCUGUUAUGUAAAUUUUUUGAAAGAGAAAAUCAGGGGCUGGUUUAUCAAUUUGUAGCUCCGGAACAGAUACGAAAUUUCAUUUUUCAACAGUUACAUUGUACAAAAUAUUCAGCUCAUUUUGGAAGAGACAAAACUUUAGAUCUCAUAAAGAAAAGAUUUUAUUGGCCAAAUAUGUCAGAUUCUAUAAAGUUAUGGAUUAAUAGUUGUGAUCUUUGUGCUAAAGGGAAACCUGGACCAGGGAAAGGGAAAUCACCUUUGAAAUCCAGUGUUUCUACGUAUCCUUUAGACAGAAUAGCAAUUGACAUCAUAGGUCCUUUGCCCAUUACUACGGGUGGAAAUGAAUACAUUAUGGUAGUGGAAGAUUAUUUCACUAAAUGGACAGAAUCUUAUGCAAUACCAAAUCACCAAGCUCUUACAGUAGCUGAUAAACUUGUUACAGAAUUCAUUUGCAGAUUUGGCUGUCCAUUCCAAAUUCAUACAGAUCAAGGCCGAGAAUUUGAAUCUGGCCUAUUUGCCGCCAUAUGUGACAAAUUAGGAAUUGACAAAACUCGAACAUGUCCAUACAGACCCCAGUCUGACGGAAUGGUUGAACGUUUCAAUCAAACUUUACAAUCUAUUCUACGUUUAUUUGUUAAUGAACAUAGAAAUGAUUGGGACGAUCACAUUCCAUUCAUUAAUAUGGCAUACAGAGCCACUCAACAUGCAAGCACAAAAUGUUCUCCAAAUCUCUUGAUGUUUGGACAUGAAUUAAGAUGUCCAAUUGAUGUUAUGUUUGGCUUACCUCAAGGAUAUAAAAGUAUACCUUGUCCAAUUGCAUAUGUUGAGUGGGUUCAAGAAGCUCUUAGAAAUGCAUUUCAGUUAGCACAUACACAAUCUGGUUUAAGUGCAAAUAGACAAAAAGAAAAUUAUGAUAAAAACUUUGAAAAUAAGAAGUUUUGAGGAAAAACUCAUUUGUUUGGAGAUGGUAUCCUCCAGAAGCAAAUAAGAAACUUGGAUUAGGCUGGACCGGUCCAUACAAAGUUAUUAAGAAAAUCACUGAUUUGACAUACAGAAUACAAAAAGACACAAGUACUAAACAAUUAGUCGUACAUGUAGAUCAUUUGAAACCAUACCAAGCUGCACAUACUCCAACUAUACAAGAGCAUAUCGUUACACCACACGAAAAUGUACAAACGUUAACUCCACCAGUGACAACUCGCUUUGGUCGUGUUAUUAAACCAAGACAAAUAUUUACUCUAUAAUUUUGUUUUAUUGUUUCGCUCAUUUACUUUUAGUACUUGUCUACAUUACUGUUUGUGAUGUUGUGAAAGGGCCCACACGCCAUCAUAAAUGGUAUUGUUAGAAGGUAUGCAUAUAUACAUAAUUUUUGUGUUUGUAUAUAAUAUAUACAGGAAUAAUGAAUAUUUUUUCUUUACUGUAGAUUUUUGCAGAUUGAUAUAUAUAUUACUGUGAAAAGAUUUAUUGAUAAUAGACAAAUUUAUAUGUUUAUUAAUUAUGUAUUUUCAGAAUGGAGUUACAAUUACAUGUAUGUGAUAAUGAGUAUAAAAGUUUUCAAAAUGAUCACUUGAGAGAUUUAUGGCCAGCUGUGGGAGCAUAUUGUAACAUAGAAGAAUGUGGAAAAAACCAAUUCUUCCGCUCAUUUAACGAGUACAAGUCACACUUUGGAGGUGUACAUAAAGAAAAGUUGACCUUAUAUACCUGCCAGAUAUGUGAUUUGUCAAGAAGGAAAUUACAGGUACUGAAGAAACAUCUCGUUAAGGACCAUAAAUGCUCUGAAGAUAGAUAUAGAUGUAUAGAGGUUACCAAUAAAAAUUUCAUUGACCCGAAGGAUGUUUUGCCUUAUCGAGUGGGAGACGUAAAGGAAAGGGAAGAAGCAAAACAAUUGAGGGAGAAAGUUGAGGAAAGGAAGAGAAAAGCCAAGGAAGAGGCUCAAGAAACCCGUAAACAAUAUGUUGAGAAGGGGAAAAAACCAAAAUUAGAGGACAAAUACUAUAAUUCGAGGGACGAACAUUUGAAGUUUAAUUUUGCGAAGAAUACUCUUGACAAGGACAAUAAUAAAAGCGAAAAAAACAUUGAACGUUAAGUGACCAAUUUUUGUUUACAUUCCGUAUAUAUCUUUAUGGAAUAUUUUGAUACAUAUUUUUUUAAUAUUUUGAUACAUAUUUAUUGAACUUUUGUAUACAUAUUUAUUGAACAUUUUGAUAUAUUUUUUUAUAUACAUGUUACAUUACGUUUACAUAUUUCUUCAUUAUUUUUGUUAGAUAAAAUGAUGACAUUUGAUCUUUAAGUGGGGAGGAAUGUGGCAAUAUUGGAAUUAAGAGUUAUUUAUUAGCUCCCUUUUUAGCUUGAGCAUAUUUACAUUGUUAUAUAAUUACUAUUGUUUACAUGAAAACUUUCACCUGUGUGUAUGUACACAAUAACUUUACUCCUUUCAUAAACCGGUUAUUAAAAGUUAAAGGUAAGAUGGUGUUGCUUAAAUUGCAAAUCUUAUUUCAAGAAAGUACCAUUUGUUAAGUCAUUUUGUUAUUAAUUAUAAACUGAAUUCACAUUUUAUACAUUGUCCAGAAUUCAUACUUUCCUCGAAGGUAACUAUCAGUAUUCAUUACAGCCAUGCUGUUUACUAUUACUGUUCUGGACCAAUUCGUCUCUUAAAUGUUUUGGCUUCAUUUUGGGUUUAAACUUUAGGACUUGGGUAUAAAAUGGUUUAAAUGAUACAGUUUAAAAUCCCUACUUAAAGUAAGACAUUUCCCCCACUUUAUUUAACUUCUGUAUUGUUGUACAACUAACUGCCAUAAUAUUAGAAUAUCUAUUGUGUAUUUUGGUAUGAAAUAAAUAUGAUUAUUGAGGUAUUAUUUCUUUAAGAC
rnacentral:lncRNA from 1 species